rnacentral:lncRNA from 1 species
UGAAAUACUGAGGAAAAACAAGAAGACAAAAGAUCUCCCAACUCUAAAAGGGAACACUUUCAAAAGCAAGCUCAGGUCCUGGACUAUCAACUCUGUCAACAAGAGGAGAAUAGAGAUGCACAUUGUUCUUUUGGUUGUGAAAAAUUCGAAGAAGUAGAUGUGGUCCUGGUUGAUGGAUGAACAUUGAGGCCCUCAAGUGCAUAAAGGCACUUCUAGAUAUCUGUUGAGGCCUGGAAGGGGCAAAACAAUUCAGGAAGCAGUUGAAGAUAAAGGGGUUUACCAUGGAAGAGAAGAUCCAGGUGCCUUCAUGGAAAUGCUUGUGGUUGAAAAGAGAUGAAGAUGAGGGUCCCUGGAAAGAGGAAGAACCAGCCAGGAAAAUUAUACCAUUAGCAAGACUGGCAUCAGCAAGUAGUUCGCAGUGUUGGUUGUUCUUGGUUUCGCAGGAUUUUAUAGGAGAUGGACCUUCUCCUAAAAGUCUUAUCUUCUAAGUCUCCUAAGUCUUGGACUUUUCAAGGCCAAAGAUUUAAAGGCCAAGUGGACCAUACGGGAGAUCUAGUUUCCCAUCCAGACAGCCAAGCUCAUGCAUCCCUGGAUUUGGAUGGAUGGUUUCCCAUGGGGCCUUGGACAGAUUGGACCCAGCACUGGCACAGGGUUGACUUGGAGGAAUAAGCUCCUGGAAACCUCAAUUAGCGUUUGGGGUAUGAACAUUAAACAAUACUGAAUCUGGAAACAAUACAUCACACAGCGGGUCCAAGGAAAUAAGCAGAAGGCUGGCAGCAGGCCAGGGCCAGGGGCCAAAUCGCUCCUCAAAGACAAUUCUUCAUGGAGAAAUGACAGCAGGUUUGAGGACAGCAGAAUUUCGCUCUUGUUGCCCAGGGCUGGAGUGCAAUGGUGCAAUCUCGGCUCACCACAACCACUGCCUCCUGGGUUCAAGCGAUUCUCCUGCCUCAGCCUCCUGAGUAGCUGGGAUUACAGGAAGUACAAAAACAUCCUUGCCGUUUGCUGGAAUGAUGUACUGCUGAAGGCAAUGGACACUGGGGUUGUUUGUCCCUAAUCACAAAAUAAUUUGGACCAGUAUUUUUGAAGGAAGACGGAGACACCAGGUUUCAUAUAUCAUGGGGAAUUAAAGGUUGAACUAGACUGAAGCAAAUGGAUGAAAAAAGUAGAAUAUGGUAAAUCCAGAAUAUAAGAUCAAGAAGACAAAGGACAUUAUAUUGUCAGC